rnacentral:rRNA from 1 species
UACGUAGGGUGCGAGCGUUGUCCGGAAUUAUUGGGCGUAAAGAGCUUGUAGGUGGCUCGUUGCGUCGGGAGUGAAACCUGCGGCUUAACCGCAGGCCUGCUUCCGAUACGGGCGAGCUAGAGUUCGGCAGGGGAGACUGGAAUUCCUGGUGUAGCGGUGGAAUGCGCAGAUAUCAGGAGGAACACCGGUGGCGAAGGCGGGUCUCUGGGCCGAUACUGACACUGAGAAGCGAAAGCGUGGGGAGCGAACAGG